GUGGAAGGGAGAAAAUGGCUGUUUGGAGGGGAAAAUACUGUCCUGGAGCUCACUGCUUGGGACCUGACCUCACAGCCCUGUGCAAACCUGCAGAGAGGAGAGAAGAGGCUGGUGACUGAGUGUGCAGAGCCCUAGUCUUCUGCCUCAGGCAUAUUCAGGGCCCACUCUCAUUUGGGAAGCACCUGGCAUCUCCUGAUAAUCCAUUCCUUUGGAUGGACAUUCCACUUGAAAACAGAGCUUCCUCUCUGCCCUCUUCUCCAUUUUCCGCCUUCCUCAUGCUCUGAUUUAGUGCCGGCUCUGACUUUCUGCUUUUCUCUGGGCAGCCAAUUCCCUGGCCCAUCAACAGCACAACGCAACACAAGGACUACAGU